rnacentral:rRNA from 1 species
CAGUCGCCGCGGGAAUACGUAGGGUCCGAGCGUUGUCCGGAAUUAUUGGGCGUAAAGGGUGCGUAGGCGGCUUCUUAAGUCGGAUGUGAAAUCCCUGAGCUUAACUUAGGAAUUGCAUUCGAUACUGGGAAGCUAGAGUAUGGGAGAGGAUGGUAGAAUUCCAGGUGUAGCGGUGAAAUGCGUAGAGAUCUGGAGGAAUACCGAUGGCGAAGGCAGCCAUCUGGCCUAAUACUGACGCUGAGGUACGAAAGCAUGGGGAGCAAACAGGAUUAGAUACCCCGGUAGUCCCUGUCUCUUAUAC